rnacentral:rRNA from 1 species
UAGUGAGUUUGAUCCUGGCUCAGAUUGAACGCUGGCGGCAUGCCUUACACAUGCAAGUCGAACGGCAGCACGGGGGCAACCCUGGUGCGAGUGGCGAACGGGUGAGUAACAUAUCGGAACGUGCCCUGGAGUGGGGAUAACUAGUCGAAAGAUUAGCUAAUACCGCAUACGAUCUACGGAUGAAAGUGGGGAUCGCAAGACCUCAUGCUCGUGGAGCGGCCGAUAUCUGAUUAGCUAGUUGGUGGGGUAAAGGCCUACCAAGGCAUCGAUCAGUAGCUGGUCUGAGAGGACGACCAGCCACACUGGGACUGAGACACGGCCCAGACUCCUACGGGAGGCAGCAGUGGGGGAAUUUGGACAAUGGGCGCAAGCCCUGAUCCAGCAAUGCCGCGUGAGUGAAGAAGGCCUUCGGGUUGUAAACCUCUUUCGCCUGUGACGAAGCGCAAGUGACGGUAACAGGUAAAGAAGCACGGCAACUACGUGCCAGCAGCCGCGGUAAUCUGAU